AUACGGAAGGUCCGGGCGUUAUCCGGAUUUAUUGGGUUUAAAGGGAGCGCAGGCGGAGAUGCAAGCGUGACGUCAAAUUUCGGGGCUCAACCCCGUCUCGCGUCGCGAACUGCGUCCCUUGGUUGCGGGAAGGGGAGGCGGAACUCGUGGUGUAGCGGUGAAAUGCACAGAUAUCACGAAGAACUCCGAUCGCGAAGGCAGCCUUCCGGCCCGUCAACGACGCUCAUGCUCGAAGGUGCGGGUAUCAAACAGGAUUAGAUACCCUGGUAGUCCGCACAGUAAACGAUGGACACCCGCGGUUUGGCCUGUAUGGCUGAGCCGCCAAGCGAAAGCGUUAAGUGUCCCACCUGGGGAGUACGCCGGCAACGGUGAAACUCAAAGGAAUUGACGGGG
rnacentral:rRNA from 1 species